CAAUAGCGUAUAUUAAAGUUGUUGCGGGUUAAAAGCUCGUAGUUGGAUUUCUGCUGAGGACGACCGGUCCGCCCUCUGGGUGAGUAUCUGGCUCGGCCUUGGCAUCUUCUUGGAGAACGCAACUGCACUUGAUUGUGUGGUGCGGUAUCCAGGACUUUUACUUUGAGGAAAUUAGAAUGUUUCAAGCAGGCGCACGCCUUGAAUACAUUAGCAUGGAAUAAUAAGAUAGGACCUUGGUUCUAUUUUGUUGGUUUCUAAAGCUGAGGUAAUGAUUAAUAGGGAUCGUUGGGGCAUUCGUAUGUAACUGUCAGAGGUGAAAUUCUUAGAUUUGUUAAAGACGGACUACUGCGAAAGCAGUUGCCAAGGAUGUUUUCAUUGAUCAAGAACGAAAGUUAGGGGAUCGAAGACGAUCAGAUACCGU
rnacentral:rRNA from 1 species